GGACGCUUUCAACGAAACUGCAUCAGGGUCGCCCAAAACAGCACUUUGUUACAUGAACUUGUAUGGACUACGGGUAGACCUCUAUGAUGGAUCGAACACCCAGAACGGGUAUGAUAUUGUAAGAGCUAAAUCCGGCUUCGAAAAUGAUCUUCUUCCACUCUUCCUCAUCUCGUUCGGCUCCAUUGAUAGCCAUGAUAAAGAGAUCGAACAAGACCUGCGUCUCUACAUGCUUCCGGUCGGACGACCCCGCUCCAACCACGAUAUCCAUUAUUAUCACCUUCCCUCCUUCGGAUGGUAUGGCCUUCUUGCAGUUCUGCAAUAUCUUGACGCAUUCGGCAUCGCCCCAGUCAUGCAGAACCCACUGAAACCACAUAAACACGUAAGUAGCUAGCGAAAAUCACAAAAUUACGAACCCAUUUUAUUCUAAAUACGAUCCCACGCCAGAGCCAGACCUUGAGGAAGACAACGUCUGCGGCUGGGAUGCUCUGAAACAUGUCGCCGGCGAUGUACUUCACGUCGGUGCUAGUGGGCGCAGCGGCGACGACGUUCGGGAGGUCCAGCACGCUGCAGUCGAUGUGCGGGAACGCCUUCGCGAUGGCCUGGGCAGCGCCGCCGAGCCCGCCGGCGACGUCGACCAGGGAGCUGAUCCCUCGGAAAACACCGUCGGCGCACUCCUCGACCAUGACGUCCAUGAUGAACCCGCUGUCCGCGACCAUGCCGCUGUCGCAGAGCUUGGCGAAGCUCGCGUCGUGGCGGGCCAUGUCCCACACGUGCUGCCCGUGCGCCAGCUUGAACGGGGACGGGUCCGGCAGCUCGUGCUGGAACCACUCGCCGAGGUCGAGGAAGGAGGACACGAAGGCGGUGCCGAGGAUCAUGUUCAGAAACGGACUCACGUUCGGGCCGUUGGACGGCGCCGAGCCGACCAGGAGGCGAGACGCCGGCGUGAGCUCGUAGACAAGAUCGCUGCCGCCGUCGGUCGUCGAGUGCUGAACGACGACGCCGAAGACGCCGGUGAGAGUGAGCACGCGCAUGAGGCGUCGCAGACACGGUGUCUU
rnacentral:misc_RNA from 1 species